AACGAACGCUGGCGGCAGGCCUAACACAUGCAAGUUGAGCGAACGUAGCAAUACGUGAGCGGCGCACGGGAGAGUAACGCGUGGGAACCUACCUUUUGGUUCGGGAUAACGUCGGGAAACUGACGCUAAUACCGGAUAAGCCCUAUGGGGGAAAGAUUUAUUGCCGAAAGAGGGGCCCGCGUUGGAUUAGCUAGUUGGUGAGGUAAUGGCCCACCAAGGCUACGAUCUAUAGCUGGUCUGAGAGGAUGAUCAGCCUCACUGGGACUGAGACACGGCCCAGACUCCUACGGGAGGCAGCAGUGGGGAAUAUUGGACAAUGGGGGAAACCCUGAUCCAGCCAUGCCGCGUGAAUGAUGAAGGCCUUCGGGUUGUAAAGUUCUUUUGGUAGGGACGAUGAUGACGGUACCUACAGAAUAAGCUCCGGCUAACUUCGUGCCAGCAGCCGCAGUAAAAC
rnacentral:rRNA from 1 species